UGGACAGUGGCAGGGAUGGGUGCUGCGCGUGGAGCCCACAGUCACAGCUGGCGGGAACCGGCCUGUGUCACUGUUCGCCCGGCUCCCUGCUUGCAGGUCCCGGCCUGCACCCCUGCAUUCCCCUCUGAGACCCCGGCUCGCGCCUCCCGCCGCAUUCACUUCAAGGCCCGCCAGUCACCCCGCAGCCCGGACCGCGCCUCACCAGGAUCCCCUCGUCCCGGCCAGCACUCCUGUGCAUUCACCCCUGAGAACCGGAGCCUGUGCUACCGGCUUUCACCCUGCGCCCCAGGCCCGCGCAGCCCUCUGCAUUCAUCCCUAAGACGCAGAACUCGCGCCCCCUGCCUGCCCCCUUGAGACGGGAACCCGCGCCCCGGCCAGUCUCCGGCCGCGUUCGUACAUCCCCGGCCCUGCAGGUCGAUUACCUGAGAGGAACCCAGCCAUGGACCCUGUGCAUGAGUGGCCACCUGCUGCUCCAGCCUUGGACUGUCUCCAGGCCUUUAAAAGGGCUUCUAAGUGGGGCCUGGAGUGGCUCUUUGAAGGUGACCAAGGAGGACCAGCGCCUCCAGUGAGGAGUAAGAGCCCCUGCGCUCAGAGCCCACCUGGACAGGCCAACCCCUGGGCCACCCACGGCUCUGUGGGUGGGAAAGAAUGCUUUCUCCUGACAGCUACUGAGUUUGGACUGUCUAUGAACAGCAUUGUAGAGACAACAGCUGGCUGUGAUGUGGGGAAGCAGUCGAGACCAACCAGUCAAUAAAAGGUUUGAGAAUUCAAAUGAUUGCUUAUAAACAGUUUACCUGGAUAAGGCAAUAAAGCAGAAUAAACUACUCUCCACUGCAGAGUUCGACUUUUUCACAUCUGGGCAGCUAUUUCUUUAAUUACAUAAUGUACCAGGCUUAUUCGCCUUUAUUUUGAAAUAAUUAUAGAUCCAUACGGAGUUGUAAAAAAUAACAGAGAGCCUAUGUCCCCUUUCCCCUGUUUUCCCAAAAGGUGGCAUCUUGCAAAGUUACACAGCAAAAUCAUAGCCAGGAAUUCCAGCCUUGACUUUACAGGGGAAAAGGAACCCCUUCUAAGGAGAAAACGCACCUGCAGAUGUCCUCUCUGGACUUGAAGAAAAGGUGUGGGUCAGCCCACCCAUUCAGUGCAGCCCACCAGGCUUCUGGCGGCCUGCUCCUGCCUACAGCAGGUCAGCCGAGUGGGUAGCCUUCCCCCAGGAGGGCCCUUGGGUCUCCCCAGCGCUGGACCAGCCUUCCCAAGGUGGGCCUUGGCUGGCAGCCAUAGGCCAGGCACUGGUUCUAGCCAAUGGUACUGUGUGGGGCUGGCACAGCAGUCAGACCUGUCAUCGUGGGCCUGGCUCCUCUGACCCAUCAUGCCCCUACCCCCCAGGGUCAUCAAGGCUCCUCUUGCCAAAGCCACAGGUGCCCUGCACAGCCUGCCUCAUGGAGUGACCUGGGCAGGUGCUAGCUGGAACCAAGGUCAGGAGCUCAGAGUGGGCUGCUUUUGUGCAGAAAAGCAGAACCGGUGAGGGACAUACCAGCAACAACAUGAGAAGGAAGUGUGCGGGUGAGGGGCUGAAAAGCGCAGCCCAGGAACGUGCACAACACGGUGCUCAUACCACAGAAAGCAGAAUUUGAGGCGAAGAGUGAUAAGGGGAUGCACCUUAUGUGGGUGAAACGUGCAUAUGCCUGGGGAUGUGAGAAUUAAGUCUGUGGGAUGAGAGGAGGGCACGGCCACACAGCCACAGGGCACCUGGACUCUGGGCAAAUGCCAUAGAUUGCAGAGAAAAUGCAAAAUGAGGGUGGAAAAGACAAAUCACAAAAAUAGAUACAGAGGCAGAGCAGCAUUAAACAGACUGUCAAACUAUAGCAGGAAGGCUGGGGAGGGUGGGGGGAGGGUAAGAGAUCAACCAAAGUACUUGUAUGCAUGCAUAUAAGCAUAACCAAUGGACACAAGACACUGGGGGGUAAGGGAGGCUGGGGGAAGGUCAAGGGGGGAAAAAAAGGAGACAAAUGUACUACUCUUUGUAAUAUUUUAAGCA